CACUUGCUGAGGAUAUAUUUUAGAGUUCCCACAUCACAAGAAAGUCUGUGAUUAUUGCACUGAACUACACCUAGUAAGGAAGAGGCAGGGACAGGGAGGAAAACACUCUUGCCAUUGAAAGGCUUGUCCUCUCGAAGGAGAGGUCCUUUACACGUGGUGGAAUCAGGAACAACUCUGCUGAGGAGCUGAGUGAAUAGGAGUUGUUAGUAGAGAAGACAACUGUCGGCAGAGGGAAAAGUGUGUGUCAAGAUGUGGAAGCUUGUGAGUGUACCAAGUGCUCAAGGAACAGCAGGCGAGUAUAUACUACAUGUGUCUCUAUUCUCCUUUCCUGCGUCCAUGGCAGACAUCACUAGGUGAUCUUCAGGACUUUAUAGCUGAGCCACAAUAUGGCCUUAAAGGCUUCACAACCUGACUCCCAGGCAUCAUGAUCCAUGGAUUAUACGUUUGUGACAUGAAACCCACUUACUACCCUAGCAUCAUUUCUUCAGCAGGUAGU